GGCAGCAGCAGGGACAGAAGCCAAGGUGCCCAUCACGGACUUUGUCCUGCCAUGUGGAUACAGGGGCACUGGGUCCCACCUGUCCUAUAUCUAAUUUUUCAGGUCCAAGGGAGGAAUGGCUGCUUCUGGGUGAACAAAGAGCUGGUGAUGUAGACACCAGCUACCCCAGUCCAGCAGCGAGACCACCUGUCCAUAGCCAGCAGCCAACCUGCAGGUCCAGAGCUGACCAGGAGAUGGCGCUGCUCCCAGGACCGCUCCUCAUGGCCCUGCUGGCUCUGGGCUGGGGGACCCGUGUGGAAGGGUCAGAGGGUACUGUCCCGCUGCAGACCCUGCACUGCUACAACGACUACACCAGCCGCAUCGUGUGCAGCUGGGCGGACACCGAGGCUGCUGGGCGGCUCGUCAAUGUGACCCUCCACUGGCGGUUAAAUGAGGACCAUCCCCAGCUAGUGUCCUGUGACCUCACUAAGGAUAUGGUCUGGUCACACUGCCCAUCUCCUCCCUGUGUGCCUAGAAGAUGUGUCAUUCCCUACCAAGGUUUCAGCCUGGACAAGAAUGGCUACUUCUCAUUCCAGCCAGACCGGCUUCUGCACAUCCAGCGCACCGUGACACUGGCCCAGCAGGCUUCUGGCACAAGUUCGGGGAGGCUCCACUCGGCUUCCUGCCUUCAGCCACAGCCUCAGGAAGCUGCUGCCUGGAAGAGGCCGUGGGUUUGGCCACCAGCAACUCCUCUGAAAUGAAGUUUCCAAAUCUGCUCUUUUUGGAUGGGAGAGAUGGGAGAGAUGGGAGAGUCCCUCCCUUGGGGAGCUCAGAGCUGCAGCCUGGAGACUGGGAAGCUUAGGACAUUGUGUUUCGUGCAGGGGGCAGAGGGCAGAGGGCCCUGGGGGAUCAGGACAGGCUGCCCAGAAGGAAGGAAGCAGCUUUGCUGCCAAGGCUGUGGAGUAACGCCUGCGGGAGGUGCAUUCCUGGCAGGGUAGCUCCAUGUGCCAAGGCCAGGAAGCUCAGGAGGGGCCAUGUGCUGGGAAGACCCUAUCACUGUGUCAGGGAGCGUCACAUUCCUAUGCUGGACAAUGGAAGGAAGAAGGGGGAACACAGGCCGAACCUGAGGCUGGACAGGAGGCGCCCCCAUCCCAGCUCCGGUAGAGGGCUAAAGAGGAGUGGGUUAGGCUGUGUGCUGAGCUCAUUUCAGCUGCAUCUCCUCGCCCAGCCACUGUAAUAUGAGGAACACUCUAGCAGCGUACAUCUGCCAGUGCGCCCGUGUCCUGUACAACUUCACUGGACACAAAUUUGAUUUCAUUUGUUAUGUAUGGCAAAAGAUUGCUUUUUUGUAUGUGUAGUUCUGAGCCCAGGGCUUUUGCACUGAGCUGCGUCUCCAACCCUUUUUCAUUUUCUAUUCUGAGACAGGGUCUCACUAUGUUACUCAGUUGCCCAGGCUGGGCUUGAAUUUAUGAUCCUUUUGCCUCAGCCUGCCAAAGUGCUGGGAUUACAGGGGUGUGUCACCACACCUGGCAAGAUUAUUCUUAUCAAUUGUAAAAAGAUGUAUACAAAUGUAAAACUUAUUCUUAGAUCCUUGGCCAUACAACCACUGUGGGCCAGAUGUGCCCACUGGGGAAUACUGUGGCAGACUGUGAUGCAGAGGAUUGUGGGCAGGUGUCACAUGUCCGGAGGGCUGAGGAAGUCAGGCCACGCGAGGGGUGGGGAGAGUCACAGGGUAGGGUGCUGGGUGGGAGAGGAGAGAAGGGCUGCAGUGGGAACCCCACAGUCAGAGGGGCUUCAUCCAGGGAAGGAAACCAGGAGGGUGACAGGAAUGGGAUAUACAAAUCCUGGCCACAGAACAGAAUGUGUUCCCAUACUGGGCAGAUGCAGCUACUAAGAGGGCACAAGGGGCACCAGUGAGUUUCUGUCAGGCGACCGAGGAAGAAGUUAGGGACAACAGGGGACAGGGAAUAUGGCAUUUUGUCUCCAGAAGUGCUCACUGAGUCUGGAAGUUAGAUGUAGCCACUGGAACCUUGGCAACGAAUGAGGCAGGGUACAGAUGGGUAUCUGAUUAGUCUGAUGCACCCACAGUCCAGAUCACGGACAUUUCACUUCCUCUAUUGCUUUCUCCAUCUGUGACAUGAGCCAGGGGAAUAAAAUGGCUGAAGCUGGAUGGUUAGGGCAAAAUUGGCCCCAGUCUGCCCAGCUAGUGACAGCCUUCUGGAGCUCUCUGCUGGGACAGAUGCCCACCCCAUGUCAAUCUUGGGCUUGGGAUCUGUGAUCGAUUCCUGAUGUCUGUCCUGGCUGGGAGGGCAGGGGUGGACGCGUGCUGUGCACCUGCCACUGGGGCUAAUGNNNNNNNNNNNNNNNNNNNNNNNNNNNNNNNNNNNNNNNNNNNNNCAGGAUGACUGCCACCCUAUGUCCCCACAGCCACUGCCCCUCUCCAGGCUCCUGCCUGGCAGCUCCCCAGAUAUUUCUCCCUUGGACCUGCUCUGAUAAGUCUGCACCCCAGGCUUCAGUCACACCCUCUGUCAAGGUGACCAAUGCCCUCCCCUUACCUGAGUCGGAGGCCAUGUUUUAUGCUUGAUCCAUGAAUGUGACCCUUCCCAUCUUGCAAUGCCUUCUCCACAUACCACUGCCCGGUGGCCCUCCUGCCUCACCAAGUGACUAAAUCAUUCAUCCUCAGACCUCUGGCUCUGCCCGGGGACACUCUGGGACACAGUCUAGGGCUCACACCACUGUCCCUGACUAUCCAUUCCAGGCCCCGCCUAUGUCCCACUGAUACACGUGCUCCUAUUCCCAGUUGAUUUGUCUAUGAGAGGUCUCCCCUGCCGCAUGUCUCCAGUGGUUUAGGGAGUGGCCCUCCCCCAGGAUGCUGGCGCUGUGGGUGGGCAUCUGCGUGUCUGGGGUUCACUGCGGCCUGGAAAAAGGUUGGCACACGGUAGCCACUCAUUAAGUAGUUAAUGAAUAAAUGACUCUUAUUCAGCGUGGGCCAGAUCAUGAAACCCUGUCCUCUCCCACAGGGACCAUCCCCAGCUAGUGUCCUGUGACCUCACUAAGGAUAUGGUCUGGUCACACUGCCCAUCUCCUCCCUGUGUGCCUAGAAGAUGUGUCAUUCCCUACCAAGGUUUCAGCCUGGACAAGAAUGGCUACUUCUCAUUCCAGCCAGACCGGCUUCUGCACAUCCAGCGCACCGUGACACUGGCCCAGCAGGGUGAGGGGCUGGCAUCCCUGCCAGGGCUCUGUCCUUGUCUAGACAGCAGACACCAGGGACAGCCGGGCUAGUGCAGAAGGACCAGGUAGAGAGUGUUCAAGGGGUGGAGACGCUGUCCCGGGGCUCAGUUGGGACAGGAUGUGGUGUCCCUGUGAUGGUGACAUCAGAGCAGGUGUGGUGGGAAGGCCAUGCCCAAGCUGCUUCCCCUGCCCAGCUGCUGCCAGCACCCACCAAGCCCCUGACUUCGAGCCCUGGCAGCUUCCCUGAGGAUUCCUAUGGAAACUGACCAGCCACAGGACUUGCAUUUCUGCCACAGCCCAUGUGUGGAGGAGAUCCUUGAGGCCCAGAGGGUUCCAAAGCCCUGCCCCUGUGAUAGGUUCAAUUCCCACAGGUUUCCUGCCCGUGGGACACAAAGCUCUCCCCUCACUGCCCUCACUGGGCCCAGGGGUGCAUGGUGGGUCCGUAGAGGCCGAGAAACCAGCAGGGUCUGGGCUGGGUGCAGACCGCUACUCAUACAGCGAGGUCUGCCUGAGUUUCCAGGGGAAGGAGAUGCAGCUGGCCCUUCACAAGCCCGGGUUCAAGGCAGUGUCUCUCCAGGGAAGCUGGAUGAAAAGGGGAGUCCCUUGACAAAGGUUCGGGGUGACAUGCCAAGCCUGUGUGUGUGGUGGGUGUUGAAGAGGCUGCGACUCUUGCCCUCUUCCCCAAACAGCACCAGAUAGGCAUUGCUGUCACUGCCUUUGGGCUACAGGACUUGCCCUAGGCCUCAAAGCUUCUGGUGGCCGCACUGAGGUUGGGCCCAGGCAGGUCCCUUCCUGCCUCUGAUCCUGCCCUGGUCCUGCAGCUUCUGGCACAAGUUCGGGGAGGCUCCACUCGGCUUCCUGCCUUCAGCCACAGCCUCAGGAAGCUGCUGCCUGGAAGAGGCCGUGGGUUUGGCCACCAGCAACUCCUCUGAAAUGAAGUUUCCAAAUCUGCUCUUUUUGGAUGGGAGAGAUGGGAGAGAUGGGAGAGUCCCUCCCUUGGGGAGCUCAGAGCUGCAGCCUGGAGACUGGGAAGCUUAGGACAUUGUGUUUCGUGCAGGGGGCAGAGGGCAGAGGGCCCUGGGGGAUCAGGACAGGCUGCCCAGAAGGAAGGAAGCAGCUUUGCUGCCAAGGCUGUGGAGUAACGCCUGCGGGAGGUGCAUUCCUGGCAGGGUAGCUCCAUGUGCCAAGGCCAGGAAGCUCAGGAGGGGCCAUGUGCUGGGAAGACCCUAUCACUGUGUCAGGGAGCGUCACAUUCCUAUGCUGGACAAUGGAAGGAAGAAGGGGGAACACAGGCCGAACCUGAGGCUGGACAGGAGGCGCCCCCAUCCCAGCUCCGGUAGAGGGCUAAAGAGGAGUGGGUUAGGCUGUGUGCUGAGCUCAUUUCAGCUGCAUCUCCUCGCCCAGCCACUGUAAUAUGAGGAACACUCUAGCAGCGUACAUCUGCCAGUGCGCCCGUGUCCUGUACAACUUCACUGGACACAAAUUUGAUUUCAUUUGUUAUGUAUGGCAAAAGAUUGCUUUUUUGUAUGUGUAGUUCUGAGCCCAGGGCUUUUGCACUGAGCUGCGUCUCCAACCCUUUUUCAUUUUCUAUUCUGAGACAGGGUCUCACUAUGUUACUCAGUUGCCCAGGCUGGGCUUGAAUUUAUGAUCCUUUUGCCUCAGCCUGCCAAAGUGCUGGGAUUACAGGGGUGUGUCACCACACCUGGCAAGAUUAUUCUUAUCAAUUGUAAAAAGAUGUAUACAAAUGUAAAACUUAUUCUUAGAUCCUUGGCCAUACAACCACUGUGGGCCAGAUGUGCCCACUGGGGAAUACUGUGGCAGACUGUGAUGCAGAGGAUUGUGGGCAGGUGUCACAUGUCCGGAGGGCUGAGGAAGUCAGGCCACGCGAGGGGUGGGGAGAGUCACAGGGUAGGGUGCUGGGUGGGAGAGGAGAGAAGGGCUGCAGUGGGAACCCCACAGUCAGAGGGGCUUCAUCCAGGGAAGGAAACCAGGAGGGUGACAGGAAUGGGAUAUACAAAUCCUGGCCACAGAACAGAAUGUGUUCCCAUACUGGGCAGAUGCAGCUACUAAGAGGGCACAAGGGGCACCAGUGAGUUUCUGUCAGGCGACCGAGGAAGAAGUUAGGGACAACAGGGGACAGGGAAUAUGGCAUUUUGUCUCCAGAAGUGCUCACUGAGUCUGGAAGUUAGAUGUAGCCACUGGAACCUUGGCAACGAAUGAGGCAGGGUACAGAUGGGUAUCUGAUUAGUCUGAUGCACCCACAGUCCAGAUCACGGACAUUUCACUUCCUCUAUUGCUUUCUCCAUCUGUGACAUGAGCCAGGGGAAUAAAAUGGCUGAAGCUGGAUGGUUAGGGCAAAAUUGGCCCCAGUCUGCCCAGCUAGUGACAGCCUUCUGGAGCUCUCUGCUGGGACAGAUGCCCACCCCAUGUCAAUCUUGGGCUUGGGAUCUGUGAUCGAUUCCUGAUGUCUGUCCUGGCUGGGAGGGCAGGGGUGGACGCGUGCUGUGCACCUGCCACUGGGGCUAAUG
rnacentral:lncRNA from 1 species